GACGAACCGUGCAAACGUUAUUCGGAAUCACUGGGCUUAAAGGGCGCGUAGGCGGGUCGGAUAGUCUGCGGUGAAAUCCUCCAGCUUAACUGGAGAACUGCCGUGGAUACUCCCGGCCUCGAGGAGGGUAGGGGCAUCUGGAACAGCCGGUGGAGCGGUGAAAUGCGUUGAUAUCGGCUGGAACUCCGGUGGCGAAGGCGAGAUGCUGGACCCUUUCUGACGCUGAGGCGCGAAAGCCAGGGGAGCGAACGGG
rnacentral:rRNA from 1 species